UACGUAGGGUGCGAGCGUUGCCCGGAUUUAUUGGGCGUAAAGCGCGCGCAGGUGGUGCGGUAAGUCUGUCGUGAAAUCUCCCGGCUCAACUGGGAGGGUGCGGUGGAGACUGCCGGACUGGAGGCACUCAGAGGCCGGUGGAAUUCCCGGUGUAGUGGUGAAAUGCGUAGAGAUCGGGAGGAACACCAGUGGCGAAGGCGGCCGGCUGGGGGUGACCUGACGCUGAGGCGCGAAAGCGUGGGGAGCAAACAGG
rnacentral:rRNA from 1 species